UUCGAACCAAACCAGAAUCUUACAAGCAUAUACGUAGCUGCUUUUCACGAGGAUGUGUAAUAUAUAAAUCCUCAAUCUAAAGUACUAUUUCUCAAGCCUUGUUCUGAAUGAAUUUAAUUCACUUAAACAAUGUCUCAGCAUUUUAGAAGGCAGUUUCUACUCAAUGAUCUUACCGAAUUCGCUCCAUAUUUACAUUACUACCAUACUCCAGCCUCUCUUAAGCCGCUUGCAUCUGUGCUGUGGACACAGGACUGGAGCGUGGCGUCUCGGUGACAUCUUCUUCUACCUCAUCGGUGGGAAGAUCAUCUGAAUGCAGUUUGGGUUGAUGGACACUUCGGACGAAUUCAGCAAAUGAAGGAAAGUGUUCUGGAGAGAAGAAGUAAGCUCCCAUUCUCUGGUAUGUGAACAACUCCACAUUCUCCCAAUCCAAAUUCUUCUUUAUCUGAUCGAAGCCCCCCUGAGGUCCUGAAUCGGAUGAGUUUUGUCCUGACAACAUUACGCCGUGCUUUCUGCUAGCGGACUUGAUUUGUGCUAUUAAUGACUCAGGGCUUGAUAACAAUUCUUGAGGAUGAUGUUGAUCUGAUAGGUCCAUUCCAGGCAAUAUCAUUUUGCUUGAGUUCCUUGCAAAUACUUCGGCGACAGCCUCGUAUCCAUCCCUGUUGGCGGUAUUGUAGAAUCCGGCUGUUAAUUCACUUGGGUGCGAUCUAGUUUUGUACCAAGUAUGCAUCAACGGAACCUUCCCAUGAAUGGUUGCUUCGGUGUUGCCAAAGACAGAUGAGGCAAGAGAGAGAAGGCGAUCGCCAUGAGCAAUUAGCUCACUAGAAUACCAGGAAAGGAAGAAAUCGCCAUAGUGAGACUCCCAUGAACCACCAUUAUCUUUGAAGAAAUUGUUUGAGUUUGGCAUUUCAUCAUAGCUCGGAGCAUCAUGGGGACCUCCGAGUCCAUACAAAGGAUUCCCGCUCGCUUCGGCAUGUUGCUUAAGAAGGCUAAGCAUGUUUUUAUCAUAGCACUGAAAUUCUCCAACACCAUGUGACUUUAGUUGUCGCUGAGAAGGAUAUCGAAGCUCACCAUCUGGUCCGAGACUCAUGGAGAUGCCCGAGAUUGUAGAGCCCAAGAAAUUUGAGAAUGAAGACUUGAAGCUCUCACAAAAUUCUUGGUAAACUUGGAUAGGAGUCUUCCCAUUCAGGACAGGAAGGUUAUCAACAGAGAGUGAUAUGCAAUCUUUAUAUUGCUGCCUGUAACGGUCGGUGAAGUAGAUGUUAGGUUCAGAUUCACCGAUCUUCGAGACCCAUUCGGGGAGAGGAAUUCUCGGUUGGUUAGACGCAUGGAAGCAAAGUGAAACAUGUAACUUGAGACCUGCAUUUUGGACCAUCUCCGCAAGGGCGAGAUAGCCCGACCAUUCAUAUUUCCCCAUGGUUUCUUUCUCAGCAAUUCCCCACCACACCGGAAGCUCGACACCUUCUACACCAAGCAACUUCAAAGCCUUAAGGCCAGCUGCAAUUGCCCUUGAAUGGUUAAUUGCAUUGCAGGUAGAAACUGCAUCUAAUGGCAAACCAACAUACAAUUUCACCCCCUCAAGAGAUUUAGAUCUUCUUCCAACGUUGAGGUUUUCAGAUUGAACUGGUUCCAUCUGCACGGCUUUCGUCGAUAAUCGGAUUCUUGACCUUUCACACCUCGAACUCCUCAUGAAACAGAUCUUCGACUUCGAACCAAAAAUCUUACUAUCUACUUUCGAAUUGAAAAACCCUAACUCCCUGUUGCCAAAAUCGGCUCCAGCGAUCUUCGCCUGAGAUUUUCCGAUCACUGAAACCUCCAUAAUUCGGGGGAAAAAGAAUGAAAAUGGGAAAUUCAAAUAAAAAUCUAACGAAAAAGUUCCACACGCGAGAAUCGAAGGGAAUUCGAAACGAGAAAAACAAGGAAACGAUUCCAAAAUCGAAGAGGAAAAUCGGAAGAAUUAUUGAGAAAUAAAGAUUCUCUUAAAAUGACGAACAAAUUAAGAUAG
rnacentral:misc_RNA from 1 species